rnacentral:rRNA from 1 species
UACGGAGGGUGCAAGCGUUAUCCGGAUUCACUGGGUUUAAAGGGUGCGUAGGUGGGAAUGUAAGUCAGUGGUGAAAUCUCCGUGCUUAACACGGAAACUGCCAUUGAUACUAUGUUUCUUGAAUUUUCUGGAGGUUAGCGGAAUAUGUCAUGUAGCGGUGAAAUGCUUAGAUAUGACAUAGAACACCAAUUGCGAAGGCAGCUAACUACAGGGAUAUUGACACUGAGGCACGAAAGCUAGGGGAGCAAACAGG